CCUACGGGAGGCAGCAGUAGGGAAUAUUGCUCAAUGGGGGAAACCCUGAAGCAGCAACGCCGCGUGGAGGAUGAAGGUUUUCGGAUUGUAAACUCCUUUUGUUAGGGAAGAUAAUGACGGUAUCUAACGAAUAAGCACCGGCUAACUCCGUGCCAGCAGCCGCGGUAAUACGGAGGGUGCAAGCGUUACUCGGAAUCACUGGGCGUAAAGAGCGCGUAGGCGGGAUAGCAAGUCAGAUGUGAAAUCCUUAGGCUUAACCAUAGAACUGCAUUUGAAACUGUUAUUCUAGAGUAUAGGAGAGGUAGGUGGAAUGCUUGGUGUAGCGGUAAAAUCCGUAGAGAUCAAGAGGAAUACCGAUUGCGAAGGCGACCUGCUAGAACAUAACUGACGCUGAGGCGCGAAAGCGUGGGGAGCAAACAGGAUUAGAUACCCCUGUAGUC
rnacentral:rRNA from 1 species